rnacentral:rRNA from 1 species
UGGGGAAUUUUGGACAAUGGGGGCAACCCUGAUCCAGCCAUUCCGCGUGAGUGAAGAAGGCCUUCGGGUUGUAAAGCUCUUUUGUCCGGAACGAAACGGUUAGGUCUAAUAAGCCUGACUACUGACGGUACCGGAGGAAUAAGCACCGGCUAACGACGUGCCAGCAGCCGCGGUAAUACGAAGGGUGCAAGCGUUAAUCGGAAUUACUGGGCGUAAAGGGUGCGUAGGCGGUUCGUUAAGUCUGUCGUGAAAUCCCCGGGCUCAACCUGGGAAUGGCGAUGGAUACUGGCGAGCUAGAGUGUGUCAGAGGAUGGUGGAAUUCCCGGUGUAGCGGUGAAAUGCGUAGAGAUCGGGAGGAACAUCAGUGGCGAAGGCGGCCAUCUGGGACAACACUGACGCUGAAGCACGAAAGCGUGGGGAGCAAAC